GACGAACGCUGGCGGCGUGCCUAACACAUGCAAGUCGAGCGAGGAAUGACAGGUAGCUUGCUACCGGUUAUUUCUAGCGGCGGACGGGUGAGUAACGCGUGAGCAACCUGCCUUUAUCAGGGGGAUAACGCAUCGAAAGAUGUGCUAAUACCGCGUAAGACCACAGCCUCACAUGGGGCAGGGGUCAAAGGAGGAAUCCCGGAUAAAGAUGGGCUCGCGUCCGAUUAGCUAGUUGGUGAGAUAACAGCCCACCAAGGCGACGAUCGGUAGCCGACCUGAGAGGGUGAUCGGCCACAUUGGAACUGAGAGACGGUCCAGACUCCUACGGGGAGGCAGCAGUGAGGAAUNUUGGUCAAUGGGCGCGAGCCUG
rnacentral:rRNA from 1 species